rnacentral:rRNA from 1 species
UACGGAGGAUCCGAGCGUUAUCCGGAUUUAUUGGGUUUAAAGGGUGCACAGGCGGAAUAUUAAGUCGGCGGUGAAAGUUUGCAGCUUAACUGUAAAAUUGCCGUUGAUACUGGUAUUCUUGAGUGUAUAUGAAGUAGGCGGAAUUUGUAGUGUAGCGGUGAAAUGCAUAGAUAUUACAAGGAACUCCGAUUGCGAAGGCAGCUUACUAAAUUACAACUGACGCUUAGGCACGAAGGCGUGGGUAUCAAACAGGAUUAGAUACCCUGGUAGUCCCU